rnacentral:rRNA from 1 species
UUUAACAUGAGAGUUUGAUCCUGGCUCAGGAUGAACGCUGGCGGCGUGCUUAACACAUGCAAGUCGAACGAAGCACUUUGAUCGAUUUCUUCGGAUUGAAAUUUUAGUGACUGAGUGGCGGACGGGUGAGUAACGCGUGGGU